AGCAUGCCGAACAAUUAAGUUCCGUUUAUACCUACAAAAUUAGAGAGUGUUCAUUUAGAUUCCAGUUACACCCGCACACUGCACUUACACUUUUCACAGCUCUCUAUACUUGUUAAGUUAAUACGGUUUUGACCAGGCACGUCAGGCCAACAAACAUUGAUAGAGCUAAAUUCCAAAUUGAUUAACAAUGUUAAUAUCACGCUUGCGUAACGAGCUGAUAAACUAUUGCUCGACUGAACUGAAGAGCUGGACACGUGAGACACGGCGCCUGGAGAGCUUGGGGCGUGGCAUAAUUGGGCUUCUUGCUAAGCUGCCCAUGCGUGAUAACUCCCAGCCAGAGUUUGUGUGGCUCUUCGCAAGUGCUCCGGCUGAUUUGUGACACCUACGAGACUUAAGUGUAUCGAGACGAAUAUAUUGACAGUUAUGCCCCAUACCAACUGGAUGCUGGGGAAGCUUUUCAGAGGCAACGAUUGACCAAGUAUAGAUAGGUCCCACUGCCUAUGCGUAAUAACCCUCAGCUGGAAUAUGUGACGUGGACCUAUUUACGUCCAGGGGCAUAAAGUCGCGUUAUGUAAAUUGAGAAUGUUGUUUGAUAAGCACAAGCAGCCAAAUAUGAAAUUGUCUCUGUUUUGAUGUUAAUUCACAUAUGAUAAGACUGCAUUUCCUCACCAUUCGGGCAGACAAGCAUGAGACUAAAUCUAUAAGCAGGCAUGAUGCACACCUAUUUUUGGAUGGUUACGCUUCCAACUGCCUCAUCCUAGAGGGUAUUGGAAGACAUCUGCGAUUCCAUGAAAUAC
rnacentral:sRNA from 1 species